rnacentral:rRNA from 1 species
UACAGAGGGUGCGAGCGUUGUUCGGAAUUAUUGGGCGUAAAGAGCGUGUAGGCGGUCCGGUAAGUCCGCUGUGAAAGUCGGGGGCUCAACCCUCGAAUGCCGGUGGAUACUGUCGGGCUAGAGUGCGGAAGAGGCGAGUGGAAUUCCUGGUGUAGCGGUGAAAUGCGCAGAUAUCAGGAGGAACACCUAUUGCGAAGGCAGCUCGCUGGGACGUAACUGACGCUGAGACGCGAAAGCGUGGGGAGCAAACAGG